UAGGGAAUCUUCCGCAAUGGGGGGAACCCUGACCGAGCAACGCCGCGUGAGUGAAGAAGGUUUUCGGAUCGUAAAGCUCUGUUGUUAAGGAAGAACGAGUGUGAGAAUGGAAAGUUCAUGCUGUGACGGUACUUAACCAGAAAGGGACGGCUAACUACGUGCCAGCAGCCGCGGUAAUACGUAGGUCCCGAGCGUUGUCCGGAUUUAUUGGGCGUAAAGCGAGCGCAGGCGGUUAGAAAAGUCUGAAGUGAAAGGCAGUGGCUCAACCAUUGUAGGCUUUGGAAACUGUUUAACUUGAGUGCAGAAGGGGAGAGUGGAAUUCCAUGUGUAGCGGUGAAAUGCGUAGAUAUAUGGAGGAACACCGGUGGCGAAAGCGGCUCUCUGGUCUGUAACUGACGCUGAGGCUCGAAAGCGUGGGGAGCGAACAGG
rnacentral:rRNA from 2 species